CAGUGCAGCACUGGAUUACACGCCUUAAAGUGAUGAAUGAUAAGAGCAAUACUUCCCUCAACUAUCCAGAGCUCUGCACCGCAUGUUGAACUCCUCAGCACCUUACAAACGCCCGGAGAGGCCAUGAGGGUAUCCGUGACGUCAGAUAGCUUGAAGGCCAAUGAGCUGCUCCGCUCGUCAACCAAUCAGCACUCAGUCGACGGCGUCCUGCUGCCCAAAGCCCGUGUGCUGCAAGGAAAAGGGAAAAGUCGAGUCAUUCAUUGAGCACUCGGGCGCCCUCUGGCGUUUUACGGUCAUAUCGUUGAUGUACCGGGGAGACAGGACAAGGUCAGACUCCUCACAACCCGGCUCUGGCGAGGCUCGGUAACUGAGGAUUCACCUGCACCGAGGCAGAUUCUACCCGUAUUGAAGCGGAUUCCACCUAUAUUGAGGCAGAUUCCACCAGUAUUGAGGACUCCAGCAGCAACCUGAACCAGAGGAUAUCAUUUAACCCUGAGCAGUAAUAUGAUAACAGUUGACGUUGGCAUCUAUUUCCAGUAUCUCAUUGAGGGACUUGACCAAAACUGCUGUGGAGGUUACAGAAUGAGGCGAACCCCAAUGAUCCAGCCACCCAGUAUAGAACUCCGAAUUCACCUAUAAGUAAUCAAGAACCAUUAAAACAGUACAAAGUC